rnacentral:rRNA from 1 species
AGACGAACCGGGCGAACGUUAUUCGGAAUCACUGGGCUUAAAGCGUGCGUAGGCGGCUUGGCAAGUUGGGUGUGAAAGCCCUCGGCUCAACCGAGGAACUGCGCCCAAAACUGCCAGGCUUGAGGGAGAUAGAGGUGAGUGGAACUAAUGGUGGAGCGGUGAAAUGCUUUGAUAUCAUUAGGAACACCGGUGGCGAAAGCGGCUCACUGGGUCUCUUCUGACGCUGAGGCACGAAAGCUAGGGGAGCGAACGGGAUUAGAAACCCGGGUAGUCC